GGCAACCUGGCCGAGUGGUCUAAGGCGCCAGACUCAAGUGGUUAAGCACUUGCCUGUGGUAUCACACAGGUGCAUUCUGGUCUCGAAAGAGGCGUGAGUUCGACUCUCACGGUUGUCA
rnacentral:tRNA from 1 species